UAAAAACAUAACUUAAAAACUCAUAAAUCAUACCAGAACUCCAUUUUUUCCGAAACCAUUUGACAUCGAAUUCUGUUUUCCCACACACACAUGUUUCCACCCCCAGCAGGUUUCCUGCAGCCGGGCAGUCUCGCCACCCUAUCAGCUAGGAACCAGUUCCUUUUUACGGUUAUCUUAGCUUAUGUCACAAGUGUUCAUUUCCGCCUAUUUUCUGAAAGUCGCAUUUAAAAAAGAGCAAGGAGCUUCGUCGUCCUCAAUUCAAUCACAAUACUCGAUCAAGAGUUGGCUUAUAUUGCUUCCUUAGAAGAACUAGUCGAUUCUCUACGAUGCAACAUUUUAAAGUAUUGUUAGUUCUGUUGUUUGUGGCUGCUGUUAGCGUUUCUCUCACCCAGGCGUGGACCAUGAACAAUAAGAAAGUUGGAAAACGUGAUAGCAAGGAGCCUGCCCGAGAGGAAAACCGGCUAAGAAUGCAUGAUGGGGCGGCAAGGCUGAAAGCAAGACGAUUCCACGUUGAAGAAUGGAACAGGGCUUAAAACUAUAAAUGAAGUUGUAAAGGAAACGUAAAUUAAACAAAGUUACUGGUCGCAA